CCUACGGGUGGCUGCAGUGAGGAAUAUUGGUCAAUGGCCGGAAGGCUGAACCAGCCAUGCCGCGUGAAGGUCAGUGCCCUAUUGGCGUUAAACUUCUUUUGUUCGGGAGCAAUAAUGGUCACGUGUGGCCAGACUACAUUACCGUACGAAUAAGCAUCGGCUAACUCCGUGCCAGCAGCCGCGGUAAUACGGGGGAUGCAAGCGUUAUCCGGAUUUAUUGGGUGUAAAGGGCGUGUAGGCGGGAGCGCAAGUCAGAUGUGAAAACUCAGGGCUCAACCCUGAGCCUGCAUUUGAAACUGUGUUUCUUGAGUGCGGGAGAGGCAAUCGGAAUUCCGGGUGUAGCGGUGAAAUGCGUAGAUAUACGGAGGAACACCAGUGGCGAAGGCGGAUUGCUGGACAGUAACUGACGCUGAGGCGCGAAAGCGUGGGGAGCAAACAGGAUUAGAUACCCCAGUAGUC
rnacentral:rRNA from 1 species